rnacentral:rRNA from 1 species
CAAGAAGCUUUGAUCCGUAGAUUUCCGAAUGGGGCAACCCAAUGUAUAGAGAUAUACAUUACCUAUAUAGGAGCGAACGAGGGGAAUUGAAACAUCUUAGUACCCUCAGGAAAAGAAAUCAAUAGAGAUUGCGUCAGUAGCGGCGAGCGAAAGCGCAAGAGGGCAAACCCAGUGCUUGCACUGGGGGUUGUAGGACUGCAAUGUGCAAGAGGUGAGUUUAGCAGAACAUUCUGGAAAGUAUAGCCAUAGAGGGUGAUAGUCCCGUAUGCGAAAAACAAACCUUAGCUAGCAGUAUCCUGAGUAGGGCGGGACACGAGAAAUCCUGUCUGAAGCUGGGUCGACCACGAUCCAACCCUAAAUACUAAUACCAGAUCGAUAGUGCACAAGUACCGUGAGGGAAAGGUGAAAAGAACUGAGGUGAUCAGAGUGAAAUAGAACCUGAAACCAUUUGCUUACAAUCAUUCAGAGCCCUAUGUAGCAAUACAGGGUGAUGGACUGCCUUUUGCAUAAUGAGCCUGCGAGUUGUGGUGUCUGGCAAGGUUAAGCAAACGCGAAGCCGUAGCGAAAGCGAGUCUGAAUAGGGCGCUUAGUCAGAUGCUGCAGACCCGAAACGAAGUGAUCUAUCCAUGAGCAAGUUGAAGCUAGUGUAAGAACUAGUGGAGGACUGAACCCAUAGGCGUUGAAAAGCCCCGGGAUGACUUGUGGAUAGGGGUGAAAGGCCAAUCAAACUUCGUGAUAGCUGGUUCUCUCCGAAAUAUAUUUAGGUAUAGCGUUGUGUCGUAAUAUAAGGGGGUAGAGCACUGAAUGGGCUAGGGCAUACACCAAUGUACCAAACCCUAUCAAACUCCGAAUACCUUAUAUGUAAUCACAGCAGUCAGGCGGCGAGUGAUAAAAUCCGUCGUCAAGAGGGAAACAACCCAGACUACCAGCUAAGGUCCCUAAAUCUUACUUAAGUGGAAAACGAUGUGAAGUUACUUAAACAACCAGGAGGUUGGCUUAGAAGCAGCCAUCCUUUAAAGAAAGCGUAAUAGCUCACUGGUCUAGUGAUUUUGCGCGGAAAAUAUAACGGGGCUAAAGU